GUGUGCGCGUCAUUGGGUAUAUUGUUGAAACCUAAGGGCGUAAUUGAAUAACUAUUUUAUGGGAUUACAAGUGAAUUAAUUUUCAUUGCUUCAUCCCGGGGCGUUCUAUACGAACAUGGUUCAAGCAAUUGGACCCUCUGUUCAAGAGCGUACCUUGAGCAUACAUGCUGUGACCCGAAAGAUGGUGAACUAUACCUGAUCAGAUCGAAGCCAGGAGAAAUUCUAGUGGAGGAUCGAAACAGUUCUGACGUGCAAAUCGAUUGUCAGAAUUAGGUAUAGGGACGAAAGACCAAUCGAACCAUCUAGUAGCUGGUUCCCUCCGAAGUUUCCCUCAGGAUAGCUGGCGCAAAGAAUUAUAUUAUAUAUAAUCUUAUCUGGUAAAGCGAAUGAUUAGAGGCCUUGGGGCCGAAACGACCUCAACCUAUUCUCAAACUUUAAAUGGGUAAAAACCUCAUCUUUCUUGAUCUGAAGAUAUUGGGGUUUAGAUAUAUUGUGCCCAGUGGGCCACUUUUGGUAAGCAGAACUGGCGCUGUGGGAUGAACCAAACAUGAUGUUACGGCGCCAAAAUUAAUGACUCAUAUUGAUACCAUGAAAGGCUUAAAACAGCAGGACGGUGGAUAUGGAAGUCGUAAUCCGCUAAGGAGUGUGUAACAACUCACCUGCCGAGGCAACUAGCCCUUAAAAUGGAUGGCGCUCAAGUCAUAUGCCUAUACAUCAUCGSUAAAAUAAAAAUUGUUGACUUUUCGGUCAUCAUUAUGAAAUUUUAGCGAGUAGGAGGGUACAAUGGUGUGCGCAGAAGUGUUUGGCGUGAGCCUGCAUGAAGCCGCCAUUGGCACAGAUCUUGGUGGUAGUAGCAAAUAAUCGAAUGAGAUCUUGGAGGACUGAAGUGGAGAAGGGUUUCGUGUGAACAGUGGUUGAUCACGAGUUAGUCGGUCCUAAGCUUUAUGAGAAAGCUGUUUAAUUUAUGUUACACACAAAAAUAAAAUUGUUGUACAUAAUUCAAUAAAAGCGAAAGGGAAUACGGUUCCAAUUCCGUGGCAACAGGAACGACCA
rnacentral:rRNA from 1 species